rnacentral:tRNA from 1 species
GGUCCCAUCGUCUAGCGGUCAGGACACCAGGUUUUCAUCCUGGCAACGGGGGUUCGACCCCCCCUGGGAUCACCA